UACUGUGAAACUGCGAAUGGCUCAUUAAAUCAGUUAUCGUUUAUUUGAUUGUACUUUACUACAUGGAUACCUGUGGUAAUUCUAGAGCUAAUACAUGCGAAAAAUCCCGACUUCUGGAAGGGAUGUAUUUAUUAGAUUAAAAACCAAUGCGAGUCUUCGGGCUCGUUUUCUUGGUGAUUCAUGAUAACUUUUCGAAUCGCAUGGCCUAGCGCCGGCGAUAUUUCAUUCAAAUUUCUGCCCUAUCAACUGUCGAUGGUAAGGUAGUGGCUUACCAUGGUUAUAACGGGUGACGGAGAAUUA
rnacentral:rRNA from 1 species